rnacentral:rRNA from 1 species
UACGAAGGGGGCUAGCGUUGCUCGGAAUCACUGGGCGUAAAGCGCACGUAGGCGGACUUUUAAGUCAGGGGUGAAAUCCUGGAGCUCAACUCCAGAACUGCCUUUGAUACUGGAAGUCUUGAGUUCGAGAGAGGUGAGUGGAACUGCGAGUGUAGAGGUGAAAUUCGUAGAUAUUCGCAAGAACACCAGUGGCGAAGGCGGCUCACUGGGCCGCAACUGACGCUGAGGAGCGAAAGCAUGGGGAGCGAACAGG